CAGAAUCAGUGGGGAAAGGAAACUCAGUUGAGCUUGGCUCUAGUGUAGCACAGUGAAGAGACAUGAGGGAUGGAGGGAAAGAACCUCUCCUGAUUUUUCUUUUCCAUUUUCCCAACAAGGGGAUGUUGGCGGGGGGGGGGCAGUCAGAUGGGGCAGUACACCUGUCAAACCAUAACAAAGGUGCCCUGAGGGAAGCUCAGGGAGGACAGAAACUCCCAUGGAGCAGAAGGGCAAAAUUCAGACCAUGAGGGUGGGCCCUUCUGACUUCUAGAGGGUUUAAGCCAGAGAUGUCAGAAAAGUUACCACAGGAGUAUCUGGCUUGCAACAGCUAAGCAUUCAGCAUGACAUCGCUUUCUGAUCCUUUGUCAGCUCUUCCUAUCAGCGUGAAGUGGAAUUUACCAAACAGUGGAUUGUUCACCCCCAAUAGGGAAUAUGAGCUGGGUUUAGAUGGACACAGGUUAGUAUGACCCUACUGAUGUGAUGUCGCAAUAGUAAUCCUGCUCUGUGUGAAGGGCAUUGCGAACUCAGGCACUUGGUGUACGUGCUUGGCAGGAGAGUCAAGGGGGCGAUGCUACCAUCUGGGGGAUUAUGACUAAGUGCCUCUGUCAGAAUCCCCCUUAAAUGUAACAAUACAGCAGCAGGGUCUCGAUUGGCCCUGGAUAGCCAGCUGCCCCCUCUGGGGAGUAGAGCCAGUGCGAAGAGUGGUGUCAGGAUUGGGGCAUAGACAGAAGGAAGCUGCCUCUCUCCUGUAGCACACCAUGUGUUCAUGGGGAACCUGCUGCUAAAUCACUCACAGGCAUUGUGGUUCUGGGCCAGGGCUUCGUAUGUAGCAGCAGCUACCUCACUGACCUCUCUUGAAAUUCAUCCCUUGACCCAAGCUUU
rnacentral:ncRNA from 1 species